AACGAACGCUGGCGGCAGGCUUAACACAUGCAAGUCGAACGCCCGCAAGGGAGUGGCAGACGGGUGAGUAACACGUGGGAACGUGCCCUUCGCUUCGGGAUAGCCUCGGGAAACUGGAGUAAUACCGAAUACGCCGUAUUGGGAAAGAUAUAUCGGCGAAGGAUCGGCCCGCGUUGGAUUAGCUAGUUGGCGGUGUAAUGGACCACCAAGGCUACGAUCCAUAGCUGGUCUGAGAGGACGACCAGCCACACUGGGACUGAGACACGGCCCAGACUCCUACGGGAGGCAGCAGUGGGGAAUCUUGGACAAUGGGCGCAAGCCUGAUCCAGCCAUGCCGCGUGAGUGAAGAAGGCCUUAGGGUUGUAAAACUCUUUCGCCGGUGAAGAUAAUGACGGUAACCGGAGAAGAAGCCCCGGCUAACUUCGUGCCAGCAGCCGCGGUAAU
rnacentral:rRNA from 1 species